rnacentral:piRNA from 1 species
UGAAAACCGAGUUUCUAACAA